UCCAUUAGAACUAAAACUCAACAUCAUAUUAACAUCAGGAACAUAAUUGUGGAACGACUAACUCCAUUAGAGGUUACUGCAAAUGACUACAUCUGUGGGGCUUGUCACU